AGUGAACGCUGGCGGCAGGCCUAACACAUGCGAGUCGAGCGGCAGCGGGUCCUUCGGGAUGCCGGCGAGCGGCGGACGGGUGAGGAAUGCAUCGGAAUCUGCCCUGUCGUGGGGGAUAACCUAGGGAAACUUAGGCUAAUACCGCAUACGACCCACGGGUGAAAGCGGGGGAUCGCAAGACCUCGCGCGAUAGGAUGAGCCGAUGUCCGAUUAGCUAGUUGGCGGGGUAAAGGCCCACCAAGGCGACGAUCGGUAGCUGGUCUGAGAGGAUGAUCAGCCACACUGGGACUGAGACACGGCCCAGACUCCUACGGGAGGCAGCAGUGGGGGAUAUUGGACAAUGGGCGCAAGCCUGAUCCAGCCAUGCCGCGUGGGUGAAGAAGGCCUUCGGGUUGUAAAGCCCUUUUGUCCGGGAAGAAAUCGUCUGGGCUAAUACCCCGGGCGGAUGACGGUACCGGAAGAAUAAGCACCGGCUAACUUCGUG
rnacentral:rRNA from 1 species